rnacentral:rRNA from 1 species
UACGGGGGGAGCAAGCGUUGUUCGGAUUUACUGGGCGUAAAGGGCGCGUAGGCGGUAGCACAAGUCAGUUGUGAAAUCUCCGGGCUUAACUCGGAAAGGUCAACUGAUACUGUGCGACUAGAGUGCAGAAGGGGCAACUGGAAUUCUCGGUGUAGCGGUGAAAUGCGCAGAUAUCAGGAAGAACACCUAUGGCGAAGGCAGCUCUCUGGGACGGUACUGACGCUGAGACGCGAAAGCGUGGGGAGCGAACAGG